rnacentral:ncRNA from 1 species
AUAAAAAUUUAUGAUUUUAUGAAUUUAUUUUGAAUUUAUUUUAUAUGUAAAUUUUAGUGUUAAUUUUUAAUUAUUUUAAUAAUAUUUAUUAUUUUGCAGUAAAUAAAAUUAAAAAUUUAAGAAAUUAAGAUUUAGUAAUAUUAAAAUUAUUAACAAAUUUUGUGCCAGCAGUUGCGGUUAUACAAAAAUUAAAUUAAAUUUUUUUAGUGUAUAAAUUAAUAUUAAUUAAAUUUUAAAAUAAAUUUUAAAUUAUUAAGUGAAAUUUUAAUUUAAAUAAAAUUUAUAUAUUUUUUAUGAAUUAAUAAAUUUAAUUUAUAAACUAGGAUUAGAUACCCUAUUAUUAAAAACUUAAAUUAUAAUACUAAAAUAGUAAAUAAAUAUUUAUUGAAACUUAAUUAAUUUGGCGGUAUUUUAGUUCAUUUAGAGGAAUCUGUUUAUUAAUUGAUAGUCCACGAAUAAAUUUACUUAAUUUAAAAUUUUAUAUAUCGUUGUUAAAAAAAUAUUUUAAAAUAAAAAUAAUAUUUAAAAAUUAAAAAUAAAAAUUAAUUCAGAUCAAGAUGUAGAUUAUAAUUAAGAAUAUAAUGGGUUACAAUAAAUUUAUUUAAAUGAAUUUUAUUUUUUAAUAAAUAUUUGAAAGUGGAUUUAAAUGUAAUUUUAUUUAGUUUAAUAAAAUGAUUAAAAAUUAAAAUAUGUACAUAUUGCCCGUCGCUUUCAUUUAAAAAUUGAAAUAAGUCGUAACAAAGUAGAGGUACUGGAAAGUGUUUCUAGAAAGAC